CCAGUAGUCAUAUGCUUGUCUCAAAGAUUAAGCCAUGCAUGUCUAAGUAUAAGCAAUUAUACGGCGAGACUGCGAAUGGCUCAUUAAAACAGUUAUAGUUUAUUUGCUAGACGUUUAUAUGGAUAACCGUAGUAAUUCUAGAGCUAAUACAUGCUGGUUACGCUGUGCGUAGUAUUUAUUAGAUAAAACCCAACGGGGGCGACCCUGUGGAGGAAUCAUAAUAACUUAGCGAACUCGACGUAGUGAAGCAUUCAAGUUUCUGCCCUAUCAGCUUUCGAUGGUAGUGUAUUGGACUACCAUGGCGAUGACGGGUGACGGAGAAUUAGGGUUCGAUUCCGGAGAGGGAGCCUGA
rnacentral:rRNA from 13 species